CAAUAGCGUAUAUUAAAGUUGUUGCGGUUAAAAAGCUCGUAGUUGGAUUUCUGCUGAGAACGACCGGUCCGCCCUCUGGGUGUGUAUCUGGCUCUUUCUUGGCAUCUUCUUGGUGAACGUUGCUGCACUUGACUGUGUGGAGCGCUACCCAGGACUUUUACUUUGAGGAAAUUAGAGUGUUUCAAGCAGGCAUACGCCUUGAAUACAUUAGCAUGGAAUAAUAAGAUAGGACUUUGGUACUAUUUUGUUGGUUUGCGCACCAAAGUAAUGAUUAAUAGGGACAGUUGGGGGUAUUCGUAUUCCGUUGUCAGAGGUGAAAUUCUUGGAUUUACGGAAGACGAACUACUGCGAAAGCAUUUACCAAGGAUGUUUUCAUUAA
rnacentral:rRNA from 1 species